GUUAAGAUGGAGGACAGCGGGUCUGUCGCAGCAGUUGUGUUAAGAAAUACAUCAGAAAUUCAGCAGUCCCCAUGCCUUGAGAUGUUUAUGUACCUCAUGCAGUACAUGUGACGUGUAUGUGGCAGUGCAAACAUUGUGUGGCAAGAGAGAGUAGUAGGACGUGGACUGGACUUCACACCCAUGUCUAUAAAGCUCAUUCCUCUCAACC